rnacentral:rRNA from 1 species
AGUGAACGCUGGCGGUAGGCCUAACACAUGCAAGUCGAACGGCAGCACAGUAAGAGCUUGCUCUUACGGGUGGCGAGUGGCGGACGGGUGAGGAAUACACCGGAAUCUACUUUUUCGUGGGGGAUAACGUAGGGAAACUUACGCUAAUACCGCAUACGACCUACGGGUGAAAGCAGGGGAUCUUCGGACCUUGCGCGAUUGAAUGAGCCGAUGUCGGAUUAGCUAGUUGGCGGGGUAAAGGCCCACCAAGGCGACGAUCCGUAGCUGGUCUGAGAGGAUGAUGCGCCACACUGGAACUGAGACACGGCCCAGACUCCUACGGGAGGCAGCAGUGGGGAAUAUUGGACAAUGGGCGCAAGCCUGAUCCAGCCAUACCGCGUGGGUGAAGAAGGCCUUCGGGUUGGAAAGCCCUUUUGUUGGGAAAGAAAAGCAGCAGGUUAAUACCCCGCUGUUCUGACGGUACCCAAAGAAUAAGCACCGGCUAACUUCGUG